UCAGACGAUGCGUCAUGCAUAUCAAUAAGCGGAGGAAAAGAAACUAACAAGGAUUCCCCUAGUAACGGCGAGUGAAGCGGGAAGAGCUCAAAUUUGAAAUCUUAAAGGGUUUCCCUUUACGAAUUGUAGUUUAAAGAAGUGUUUUCUGUUGAGGUUUUGGUAAAAGUUCUUUGGAAUAGGACAUCAUAGAGGGUGAGAAUCCCGUAUUUGACCUUUACUUUCAACUUUGUGAUACACUUUCAAAGAGUCGGAUUGUUUGGGAAUGCAGUCCAAAAUGGGCUGGUAAAUUUCAUCUAAAGCUAAAUAUUGGCGAGAGACCGAUAGUGAACAAGUACCGUGAGGGAAAGAUGAAAAGAACUUUGAAAAGAGAGUUAAACAGUACGUGAAAUUGUCAAAAGGGAAGCGUUUGACACCAGUGUUGUUUUUCUGAAAAUCAAUUAAAGAACUGUUUAUGCUAAGUUGUUUAGACUUUAUCAGCUAACUGUUUAGUUUUGAGCUUUUCUUUAAUGCACUUUUCAGUUAACAAGUCAACAUCAAUUUCUUUUGCUGUAAAAAAGCUUGAGGAAGGGUGGCUUGAGAUUCGUCUUAAGUGUUUAUAGCCUCUUGCCUAUGCAGUCGGAGAGAUUGAGGUCUGCAGCGUAGAUCCUUCGGGGCUAAAUGCAUUUGUGCUAAGUUAUAACAUUUUAUAGACAACUUGUUGACUAUGAUUUGUCUUGUAGCUUACUCGCUUAUGUUACUUUUACCUACGCUUAGGAUGUUGAUCGCAUGUCUCUCUCU
rnacentral:rRNA from 1 species